GAAAUGCGAUAAGUAGUGUGAAUUGUAGAAUUCAGUGAAUCAUCGAAUCUUUGAACGCACAUUGCGCCCCUUGGUAUUCCAUGGGGCAUGCCUGUUCGAGCGUCAUUUGUACCCUCAAGCUCUGCUUGGUGUUGGGUGUUUGUCCCGUCUCCGCGCGUGGACUCGCCCCAAAGUGAUUGGCAGCCGGCGUACUGGUCUCGGAGCGCAGCACAUGUCGCGCAAACGAGUGCCUUGGUACGGCGGCGUCCAUAAGCCCCUCUCUCACGCUCUUGACCUCGGAUCAGGUAGGGAUACCCGCUGAACUUAAGC
rnacentral:misc_RNA from 1 species